rnacentral:misc_RNA from 1 species
UAAACAGACAAAACAUAAACCAUCUGCAAGAGCCAAAAACAACACAUAAGCUAACAUGAUAUUUGAAUAUUUCAGAUUAUUGCAUUAUCACAUCCAAUCAUUAGUGAAAUAAAAUUAUAACUUAUCAAGAUGAAAUCAUUGCUAGAAUCUCACAAAAGAAGUUAGAUCUCAAUGGAAAAGUAGACAUUAAACAGAGAGAGAGAGAGAGAG